AUAUCUACGCAUUUCACCGCUACACAGGAAAUUCCACCACCCUCUACCGUACUCUAGCUCAGUAGUUUUGGAUGCAGUUCCCAGGUUGAGCCCGGGGAUUUCACAUCCAACUUGCUGAACCACCUACGCGCGCUUUACGCCCAGUAAUUCCGAUUAACGCUUGCACCCUUCGUAUUACCGCGGCUGCUGGCACGAAGUUAGCCGGUGCUUAUUCUGUUGGUAACGUCAAAACAGCAAGGUAUUAACUUACUGCCCUUCCUCCCAACUUAAAGUGCUUUACAAUCCGAAGACCUUCUUCACACACGCGGCAUGGCUGGAUCAGGCUUUCGCCCAUUGUCCAAUAUUCCCCACUGCUGCCUCCCGUAGGAGUCUGGACCGUGUCUCAGUUCCAGUGUGACUGAUCAUCCUCUCAGACCAGUUACGGAUCGUCGCCUUGGUAGGCCUUUACCCCACCAACUAGCUAAUCCGACCUAGGCUCAUCUGAUAGCGUGAGGUCCGAAGAUCCCCCACUUUCUCCCUCAGGACGUAUGCGGUAUUAGCGCCCGUUUCCGGACGUUAUCCCCCACUACCAGGCAGAUUCCUAGGCAUUACUCACCCGUCCGCCGCUGAAUCCAGGAGCAAGCUCCCUUCAUCCGCUCGACUUGCAUGUGUUAGGCCUGCCGCCAGCGUUCAAUCUGAGCCAGGAUCAAACUCUU
rnacentral:rRNA from 1 species